CAUGGGAUAGAAUCCUUCCUCGCCUCUUCGUGGUUUCUUGUGGUUUGCCUGCAAAUGUUGGCAUUCUGUGGAUGGUAGACACAUCCCUCCCAUUUCUGCCUCUGGCGUGGCACGGUGCCCUCUCCUGCAUGUCUGUGUCUCCACAGGGCUAUGUCCCCCCUGAGUGUCAACUCUCUCCUCUUCUCAUGAGGACACCAAUCACACUGGAUGAAGAGUCCACCCCCUCCUAUAAGACCUCAUCUUCAUCUAACUAAUCACAUCUGCAACGACCUUAUUUCCAGAACUUAAAUAGCCAUGAUGUUUCUUGAUGGCCAUGGCCCCUGUGCCCAGCGAUGUGUGUGGGCACCAUACUCAGAGCCCUGCGCAGAUAUUCCCAAGGUAUCAAAAACAAAUGAGAGAAGCCUUAUUCCUACAUCAGCCAAGAAUGGGUGUGGACGUGGACAUUCUGGAAGGGAGACGCUGAUGAGUUAAGAAUGUCUA